rnacentral:rRNA from 1 species
AACAAACGCUGGCGGUAUGCUUAACACAUGCAAGUCGAACGAACAAAAUUGGGGCUUGCUCCAAUUUUAGUGAGUGGCAAACGGGUGAGUAACACGUGGGAAUCUACCUAUCAGUACGGAAUAACAUUUGGAAACAGAUGCUAAUACCGUAUAUUCUCCAAGGAGGAAAGAUUUAUCGCUGAUAGAUGAGCCCGCGUAAGAUUAGGUAGUUGGUAGGGUAAUGGCCUACCAAGCCGACGAUCUUUAGCUGGUCUGAGAGGAUGAUCAGCCACACUGGGACUGAGACACGGCCCAGACUCCUACGGGAGGCAGCAGUGGGGGAUAUUGGACAAUGGGCGAAAGCCUGAUCCAGCAAUACCGCGUGAAUGACGAAGGCCUUAGGGUUGUAAAGUUCUUUUAGUUGGAAAGAUAAUGACGGUACCAACAGAAAAAGCCCCGGCUAACUCCGUGCCAGCCGCCGCAGUAA